CAAAACCCACGGCUCCCACUCCCUCUCUUACCCUAACUCCCUCUUCUAUCUCCCUUCUUCCUCCAUUCUUUCCCCUCACAGGAAAAAUCUCCUACCGUCAUCACCAGGCCAGCCAGGCUGCAGCAGGCCACGAAGCCCAGCAGCCCUUCUCCUCCUCCUUUUAUUGUUGGAGACGACAUCAUCGAGGAACCUUUCUAGUGAUCGUGAAAAAACGGACUUCGCCUCUUGAAGCGUUGUUGCUGAUUACAGAUCGGAUCCGGUCGGGAAUAAUCGGGUUAGCAAUGUUGAUGAGAGUGUUAAGGAUGUCCUUUUGAGCUGAGACCGUGGAAGCUUAUAGUUUGUAUUAGGAAUUUGUUUAAUGUAUAUUAGUUCUGAUUAUGUUGAUUAUAAUGGACUCGUAGUGAGUUGUAUGAUUACUUUAUGUUUAGACUAGAUAUUUGGUUUGAGAUUUAGCUGUGUGGGUUUCGUAAUAGAGUUGGUGAUUCCUUUGCCCAGGUUUUGGGAUAUGAUUUAAGUUUCUUGGGAAAUAAUCCCCGUGACGACCCUGUUUACCCAGUCAACGGUAAGUCGGGUUGUUACACCUCCUUUGUUUUGUGGAACUAAUUUCUCUCAUUAGAAAACUUUGAUGAAGAUAUUUGUGAUUGAUCAAGAUAUAGAACUUUGGGACAUCAUAACCAAAGGACCUAAGGUGCCAAUGAAAAAGGACACUCAGGGCAAUGAUGUUGAAAAAUCCGAGUCUGAAUACUCACAAAGUGAUUUGGAAUCCGUGUUUAAAAACUAUAGAUCAAUGGAUCAAUUGUGUUGUGCUUUAAAUGGUACCGAGUUCAAUAGGUUUCAUUAUGCACAAGUGCUAAGAAAAUAUGGGAUAAGUUGGUUGUGACGUAUGAAGGAACAAGUCAAGUUAAGGAGACAAAGGUCAACAUCCUCAUGCAUCAAUAUGAAAUGUUCAAGAUGAAAAAGGAUUAGAAUAUUAAUCAAAUGUUUUUUCGUUUUACAUUGAUUACUAACAGUUUGAAUUUUCUUGGUAAAACUUUUAUUAAUGCUGAAAAAGUCCAGAAGGUCUUGAGGUGUCUUCCAAGAUCUAAAUGGGGUCUAAACGUAACUGCCAUUGAAGAAGCUUAAGACUUGGUUGUACUAUCACUUGACGAUCUACUUGGAAAGCUCACAACUCAUGCACUUACCUUACAUGAUGAUGGAGAAAGUGAUGUAACACCAUCCAUGAAGAAUCUUGCACUAAAGGCAAAGAAACAUUAAGAAUCCUCAAUUGAAAAUGAGGAAAUUGAUGAUGAGGAAUAUCCAUUUGUCUUAAUCACAAGAGGUCUAGAAGAAAUCAUGAAAAUGCAAAAAAGAUAUAAAAAGUUCAAAUCUAGAAACAAAGGUAAAUCUUCUAAUUCCAAUUCUAAAAUUAACAAACUUGCUUGUUUUGAGUGUGAAUCUUCAGAGCAUCUUGUAAAGGAAUGUCCUAAAAAGAAAAAGGAAUACUACAAGAAAAACAAGAAGAAACAAGCAAUGGUUGCUAAGUGGAGUGACUCCGAAGGGUUAACCGAAUCGAAAAUUGAAGAUGGUCAAGCUCACUUAUGUCUAAUGGCAAAUGAUGACAAAGAUGACAAUCUAAAACAAAACCAUAAGGAGGAAAAACAAAAAUGGAUCUUAGAUAAUGGAUGUUCGAGACAUAUGAGUGGUAAAGUUUCUUUAUUUUCUGAAAUUAAAUAAAAGUGUAAUGGCUCGAUUACUUUAGGUGACAAAGGUAAAUGCAAAAUAUUAGGUGUUGACAAAGUUGGUAAGGAUCCUUUUAAAGUUAUUGAUAAUGUUUUAUUUGGUUAAAGGUCUAAAAUUUAAUUUGCUAAGUGUGUCUUAAUUAUGCGAUAAAGGUAAUCAAGUAAUUUUUGAUAAAGAAAAAUGUGUUGUCAAAAACCCUAACACCGGAGAUACAUUUAUUACCGCCCUUAUACAUAAAAAUGUUUAUGGUUUGAAUAUUAACGAAAUUGCAGCUUAAAAUUUCAAGUGUUUAAAGGCUAUAACGGAUGAUCCAAAGCUAUAGCAUAGAAGGCUUGGUCACAUCAAUACGCACACCAUGCACGAAUUAGCAAGUAAAGAUCUGGUUUAUGGACUUCCAACUCUUGACAACAAGCACAAUCCUUCAUGUGAUGCAUGCAUUAGAGGUAAACAAGUGAGAAGUUCAUUUAAAUCAAAGAAAAUGGUAAGCACUUCAAAACCAUGUGUACUUCUACAUGUUGUUCUAUGUGGUGCAAUGCGUGUAAGGAGCACAAGAGGUAAAUCUUAUAUUCUAGUAAUCAUUGAUGAUUGUUCUAGAUUUACGUGGAUUGACUUUUUAAAGGAUAAAGGUGAAGCCUUGAAGCCGUUUUCAAAAUGUUGUAAAGAAAUGCAAACUCAAUUAAAUCUUCCAAUAGUUUCGGUUAAAAGUGAUCAUGGGAGAGAGUUUGAUCAACUAGGCUUUAAUUCUUUUUGUGAAAAAUACGGUAUCACCUAUUACUUUUCAUCUCCUAAGACACCACAACAAAAUGGUGUGGUUGGAAGGAAAAAUCACACUUUAGAAGAAAUGGCUAGGACUAUGCUCAUAGAAAAUGGAUUAGUCAAACAUUAUUGGGUCGGGAAGUUAAUAUAGCAACCUAUGUCUUAAAUAGGUGUCCCAUUAUACCUAUACUUAAGAAAACCCCCUACGAGUUAUUUAAGGUAGAAAACCAAAUAUAGCCUACCUUAGACCAUUUGGUUGUAAGUGUUUUAUCCAUAAUAAUGGUAAGGAUAAUCUUGGUUACUCAUUAAAUAGUAAGGCUUAUAGAGUGCUAAAUAAGUGAACAAGUACGGUUGAGGAAAGCAUAGAUGUGGUAUUUGAUGAAUCCGACAAUGGAAUAUUAAGUGAAGUUUUUAAAGAGUUAAACCUUAACAAAUCUUUUGAUGAUGUAAGUGAUGAUGAAAUAGAUGCCAAUGAUCAUAAUGAAGAUAAAAAGAAGAAUAUGCAAGAUCCUAUACAAAGUCUUGAUGAGGAUGAAGAAAACAGGUUGAGCUCAUUGAAUACUCACAGCCUGAUCUUGAGACCUAACCUCAAGACCUGGAAAAAGCUCCUGAACGUACUGAUUUAAAUACUCCAACAAAAGAUUCCUCGAAGGAAGUAGGAACGAGCUCUCUAAAUGAUCACACACCAUCCAUACUAAGAAGAAGGUUUAGAUUGUCAUCUCAACAUCCUCCAGAAAACAUCAUAAGUGAUCCAAACAAAGAACCAAAGGAUAUAAAAGAAGCAAUACAAGAACCAGAUUG